UACGUAGGGCGCAAGCGUUGUCCGGAAUUAUUGGGCGUAAAGAGCUUGUAGGCGGUUUGUCGCGUCUGCUGUGAAAUCUCAAGGCUCAACCUUGAGCUUGCAGUGGGUACGGGCAGGCUAGAGUUCGGUAGGGGAGACUGGAAUUCCUGGUGUAGCGGUGAAAUGCGCAGAUAUCAGGAGGAACACCGGUGGCGAAGGCGGGUCUCUGGGCCGAUACUGACGCUGAGGAGCGAAAGCGUGGGGAGCGAACAGG
rnacentral:rRNA from 1 species